AGCAGCCGCGGUAAUUCCAGCUCCAAUAGCGUAUAUUAAAGUUGUUGCAGUUAAAAAGCUCGUAGUUGAAUUUCGGGGUUAGUAGGCUGGUCGUGCCACAGGUAUGCACUGGUCUUACUGAUUCCUCCUUCCUGAUGAACCGUAAUGCCAUUAAUUUGGUGUUGCGGGGAGACUGGACUGUUACUUUGAAAAAUUGAGUGUUUAAAGCAGGCUAACGCUUGAAUACAUUAGCAUGGAAUAAUGAAAUAGGACGUUCGAUCCUAUUUUGUUGGUUUCUAGGAUUGACGUAAUGAUUAAUAGGGAUAGUUGGGGGCAUUAGUAUUCAAUUGUCAGAGGUGAAAUUCUUGGAUUUAUUGAAGACUAACUACUGCGAAAAGCAUUUGCCAAGGAUGUUUUCAUUAAUCAAGAACGAAAGUUAGGGGAUCGAAGACGAUCAGAUACCGUCGUAGU
rnacentral:rRNA from 1 species